UACGUAGGAGGCAAGCGUUGUCCGGAAUUAUUGGGCGUAAAGCGCGCGCAGGUGGUCCUUUCAGUCUGAUGUGAAAGCCCACGGCUCAACCGUGGAGGGUCAUUGGAAACUGGGGGACUUGAGUGCAGAAGAGGAUAGUGGAAUUCCAAGUGUAGCGGUGAAAUGCGUAGAGAUUUGGAGGAACACCAGUGGCGAAGGCGACUAUCUGGUCUGUAACUGACACUGAGGCGCGAAAGCGUGGGGAGCAAACAGG
rnacentral:rRNA from 1 species